rnacentral:rRNA from 1 species
GCUACACAUGCAGCCGAGCGGUAUUGUUUCUUCGGAAUGAGAGAGCGGCGUACGGGUGCGGAACACGUGUGCAACCUGCCUUUAUCUGGGGGAUAGCCUUUCGAAAGGAAGAUUAAUACUCCAUAAUAUAUUGAACGGCAUCGUUUAAUAUUGAAAGCUCCGGCGGAUAGAGAUGGGCACGCGCAGGAUUAGCUAGUUGGUGAGGUAACGGCUCACCAAGGCAAUGAUCUUUAGGGGGCCUGAGAGGGUGAUCCCCCACACUGGUACUGAGACACGGACCAGACUCCUACGGGAGGCAGCAGUGAGGAAUAUUGGUCAAUGGGUGCAAGCCUGAACCAGCCAUCCCGCGUGAAGGACGACUGCCCUAUGGGUUGUAAACUUCUUUUGUAUAGGGAUAAACCUUCCCACGUGUGGGAAGCUGAAGGUACUAUACGAAUAAGCACCGGCUAACUCCGUGCCAGCAGCCGCGGUAAUACGGAGGGUGCAAGCGUUAUCCGGAUUUAUUGGGUUUAAAGGGUCCGUAGGCGGACUUAUAAGUCAGUGGUGAAAGCCUGUCGCUUAACGAUAGAACUGCCAU